CAGGGUUAUUGGAGGAAAGGGACGUAGGCUCAGAAGGUGCACCAUCAUGUUCGUUGAGCUGUUACUGGAUCUUCUUGAAUUGUGUGACGGUUGGAAAUAACUUGACUUUAGUGGUUUGUUUCAUGCAUGAAAGACAUGCCAAGUGGAAUAGGCUUCUGAAGUUCUGGUGGUUAUGUGAACACACGAUUGUAUUGUUUAUACCAGCCAUGACCUGAACAAUCCUGCAAACAGCAGAGGUGUUACCUCCCUCAAACUAGCCAACACCAGAGCUGUGAGAGCUGUGAGUGUGAGGGUUGUAUUGUGUAGCUUCAAGUAUUAGUUCAACCACUUUUCAUCCCGACCUGUCACCAGCGUUCCGGAUACCAGGCAGUUUACGAACGUACAGUCCAAAGUCUUUGGCAUAGGCAAGUGAUAGGUAUCCAGGCCUCAGCGGUCUGUCCUACUCCUACUGAGUCCUAGCCUCCUUCACGCUGUCAUUGUAAUGCGCCUCCCUGGGCAGUUACAGCUCAGUCGCUACUUCUCACCAGGCCAGGGAGUACAAUACCCCCUACUUCUCACGAACAGCAGUUCGGACAUCCGCCGGCGGUGUUGUUGUGAGAGUGUGCAUGUGUGAAGUGAACGGAACCGAUAAACGUCCUGCCUCGUGCCUGCAUGGAUUCAUACACGGAUAUUGUGAGUGUGGGGAUUCAUCGUACAGCGUCUGUCAGUCCUUCAAUCGCUACAAAACUACAAAAGUUUGACUGGAUGAGGAGUUUUUCACCCUGUUAUUGAAUUCAACGAGUGACGGAGAUGUUACAACAGUUUCCGUAACAGGUCACCUAUACUUGCUUGCUACGUCUUCUUCCUUCGCUGGAAACGCUUGGUGGUUGAAGCUCCCCAGGUCUCUCCCGUCUCCGCAGCUAGCGCUGUUCGGCACCGAGUGACGCAGCAGCGCAGCUCGCUGACUGGCUGAAGCAGACUGCUAGAACACAGAGGAUUCCGCCAUUUGCAUGCAGCCGGGUUCCGGGUUCGGGAUUUCGUGCCGCUUGUUUUCUCCACUGGAAUCUCUGGCACAACAGCAGAACUGUCACCAGCUGCUCCCGGGUGUGAAUCUGUUCAGAGAGAACUGGACGCUGAAGAGGCUCGGAAAAGUUUGGCAGUAUUUCACUGACUGUUGGUGAAGUUUCACAUCGCAGAAAGGGCUGCACUGCCACUGACAUUGACAGGCAUCCUAACACAGGAUUCAACCUACGGAUUGAGCUGCACUUCGGUUAGGUAGUGAGUACACACCGUGCACCACUGUGGGCGAGCAAAGAGAGACGGUCCCAUAGAAUUCGGCAGCAGCGACAACACGACUGCAAGCUGCACAUCGCUAGCAGUAUGUCUGUUGUGUCGGAGCAGUGGAGAAGAAGCAAGCAGUAUGAGCUGGAGGACCCAAAAUGGCAGCACGAGACUGCCUGGAAUGCGCUGGACCAUGCGUUUGCAAUACUGCAGCUGGUAAGCGAGAACGUAGUGGCAGCACCUCGCUGCAGCCCCAGUCCCUCUUCGACUGCGUCCGCCUCCGCGGUUGAAACCAGCUAUCGCCUUCAGGAGAUGCUAUCGUCUAUUGGUGACACCUCCAUGCAAUGCACUGAACCGGAAUCGAGUCUUGCCCGGCUGUCAUUUCUGCAAGUUGCUGAACCAACUCACUUGCCUGUAUUGACUGACAACGAUAAGUCACCGUCUCAACCUCAACAGGCCCAAGGCACGGGCUCAGCACAAGAUUCCACGGACCCACUGACAGAAUCGACCAGCCAAUCCAAGUCCGUAGAUAGUCCGGCAGUGGGUGUCGCUAUGGCCGCCGCAUUCGGCGAUUCAACAAAGCCAGCAGUUCUUACCGAGCCUUCUGUUGAGCAUGCGUAAGUGACACGUUCUUCCCAUACGUGACCAUACCUGCCGGCUAUCGUUCACACAUCGCAGAGACUGAACAAGACUAAUCCAUGUACUGAAAGGCAGUAGGAUUCUAUGAUAGGAUAAGAAACAUUCACUACACUUAUCGAUACUGUAACUCCGCCGAGGAUAUAUGAACGGUUAUACAGAGGGAUUGUUCAUCAUUUGGACUGGAUCCUGCAUAUUGUUUGUUGUCGCAGUCAUCGUUCUGCAGUUGGUGAUUGCGGAAGCUGUUUGCUGACAUUAUGCCUAUGGUUUGUGUGAGUUGUAACCAGCUCUGUCCAGGGUCUAUUUGUGAGACAGUGUUUUAACAUGCAGCCGACCCAUGCCGCACAGUUAUGCUCUUCUUACAGUAGCUUGCACUGCUUUGUGAGCAGCUGAGCGUCGGUGAUAUGCACUGGCAGCUCACUACAUGUACUUCAAACUAGCACUUGAACAUGGUAGCAAUUGCUAGCUCCAUGAUCCCAUACCUACAUAGCAGCCAUACAAGUAUUGUAUAAGUGUAAUAGGAUUCGACUGUGGUGUUCUUGCACAUGUACAAUGUACACACAUACCUUUACACAAGAUUCAGAUUGACAUUUUAGUAGUGCUGCACUGUGAAUGUUACUGGUUGGGUAGCGCCAUAAUAAUAUUAUUAUGAUGACUGAUCUCUAGGUUUUGGCACAUGUGCAGCCCAUGGCUACACAGACCAAUAUGGUCUAUUGCUUAUCUGCUUGUUGUAUUUUGAUCGCGUAUCUGCUUGUUGUAUUUUCUACUUCACGUUCUGCUCGAUCCUGGCUGGCUGAUGUUCUGUUGCCCUUGAUUUGUCGUACAAUAUCGAAUAUUACAUUGUCGAUGAUAAUUGGACGAAUUGUGCAGUUCAAUUAUAGAUGCAAUCAACCACACGAGCCACCAUGCGGGCAGAUUCAUAGCAAUAAAGAAUAACUAUUGUUGUGCAUGCCUAACAAAUUACCAUUGCUUUGUCUUCCUUGCGGCAUAGCCAGUGGAACCGUUAUCCAGGCGUGUGUGUGCUUGUCAGCUGAGCACAUACUGCUGUGGAGAAAUCUCA